rnacentral:rRNA from 1 species
GAAUACGUUCCCGGGCCUUGUACACACCGCCCGUCAAGCCAUGGAAGCUGGGGGCACCCGAAGUCCGGCACUCCUCUUUGAGGGACCGGCCGAAGGUGAUUCCAGUAACUGGGGCUAAGUCGUAACAAGGUAGCCGUACGGGAACGUGCGGCUGGAUCACCUCCAAA